rnacentral:lncRNA from 1 species
GUUUAAAUUAGUUCUUCUAUCGUAGCAUCUGUACUGACAUAAUCCGCACUUUAGGGUGAUGAAUGUCAACUACUACUUCUAUCUAGCCUCCUGCCAAAAAUGAUGCUCAGAAUCGCAGAAUCGGGGAGGUCCCUCCUGAGCAUCUCCAAGCUCCCCACACAAAAAAGGAGGCGGCUUCGGGCUUUCGUUGGCUGCCGCCCCAUCCCUAAGAAGGAAGGGGAGCGUGUCUGCUUCCUGAAGGUUCGGAAAUCAAUCGAAAAUAAUCCAUGCAACCGCCCCACGACGUGAGCCCCACCCCUGCGCUCCAGGCCGCGCGAGCUAGUUGGACGCAGUUGUUGCGAGCUCGACGCCCAGCCCCGAAGAGGGCCCAGAAGAGCGUCCCAGGCAUCCGUGGGGUGGCCGGCUGUGGUCCUGGCGCCCAGAAGUGGCCAGGCCCGCUGGAUUUCCUGGGAUGCGGUCAAGUCCACAAAUACUGUCCGCGCAUCCUGAUGCUGGAGGGCGGGACCUUGGGCGGAGCGCGUGUGGCUCCACCAGAAGGGCGCUCGGACACACCCUAUGCUGGAGGAACUACAAAGUGGAAGGAUUAGGAAACGCACAAGAACAUGUACGAGAGAAGGCGAAAUGUAAGGUGUAACUUACAUUUCUAGGGUAACUCAAGAAAAAUUCGCGUUUAAAGAGAACCUCUCUGGCGAAGCAUCAGGAAAGGCUUCCUGGUGGUGGUGCAUUCGAGGGUUGUCAUCAUAGUGUUAGUUUUUAUUUUUCCCUCAGGGAUUGUUAUAUUACUCCCCCAAAUGGUUUUCCUACUCGUGAUCUCUAACAAAAUCCAUCCCAUAAGCAACCCCCGGAUUUAUGAUCUAAAAAGCCCAGUGGCUCUUUAGUUUGGCACUUGAUGACCUCCGUAUGAUUAGUCUUUCUAACCUCAUCUCAUAGCUCUCCGUAAUUCAGUACUUUAAUCUUGCGUUGAGCUUGGGCAUUGCCACCAGCUGUGGACUGAACUAUUUCCCUCCUCCCCCAAUCCAUAUGUUAAAGCCCUACCCCACCCCAAUACGUUGGUAUUUGGAGAUGGAGCCUUUGGGAGAUAAUUCAAUUUAGAUGAGAUCACCUGGGUGGGUCCCCCAUGGCGAGAUUAGUGCCCUUAUGAGAAAAAACAGCAAAGAGCUUGUUCUCCUCUGUGUGCCAUGUGAGGACAGAGCAAGAAGGGGCUUUCACCUGGAACCCAGACUGCCCCAUCUUUAUCUGGGACUUAGCCUCCAGAAUUGAGAGAAGUAAAUGUCUGUUGUUAUAGCCA